GUAUGGUUGCCAAAGAAGAUGAUGUGUCAAAAAGAGAGUUUCUUCAUGUACAAUAGAGACUAUUGUUAUAUGGUAUGAUUUUGAAUCUAAGAAUACAUAAGGUAUCUAGCUUUAAAAAGUUUAUUUUUAACUUAUUUUCUAAGCUCUAAGAAGUCAUUUGUUCCAUCUUUAACUUGUGUACAAUGUCUUGGCUUACAAUAACCUCUUUACUUUAUAUAAAAUAUCCAAAUUCUAGUAAAAUCUUUCAAAACAUAU
rnacentral:lncRNA from 1 species